UCCUAUCGAGGUCUUCCAGCUAAGAAAGCGAUAAAAUGAGGAAAAGAGGUAAAAGUACCACACAGAUGAAGAUCCGAAGUAACAACGAUUAAAGGAGUAAGAAACCCAGGGAUCUUCCAAGCUAAUGCCAUCAAAGAAAGGUGAGUCAGUACAGUUAAUUGGAAUGAAACUCCAGGGGGUAUCCCAUAACUAAAGUGGGAAAACCACGCAAACCAUCUCUGCGAGAGUCUGUGAGCCCUCACAAAAACUCAACAAAAGGGUUAGUGAAACAUGAUAAGCAUUUUUUUCAUGGAUAAC
rnacentral:lncRNA from 1 species